rnacentral:rRNA from 1 species
AGUGAAUAGAUACCCGGGUAGUCCUAGCCGUAAACGAUACUCGCUAGGUGUCGGCCACGGUGCGACCGUUGUCGGUGCCGUAGGGAAAGCCGUGAAGCGAGCCACCUGGGAGGUACGGCCGCAAGGCUGAAACUUAAAGGAAUUGGCGGGGGAGCACCACAACGGGUGGAGCUCGCGGUUUAAUUGGAUUCAACGCCGGAAGUCUUACCGGGACCGACAGCAACAUGAAGGCCAGGCUGAAGACUUUGCCGGAUUAGCUGAGAGGUGGUGCAUGGCCGUCGUCAGUUCGUACUGUGAAAGCAUCCUGUUAAGUCAGGCAACGAGCGAGACCCACGCCCACAGUUGCCAGCGUACUCUCCGGAGUGACGGGUACACUGUGGGGACCGCCGCUGCUAAAGCGGAGGAAGGAAUGGGCAACGGUAGGUCAGUAUGCCCCGAAUAUCCCGGGCUACACGCGAGCUACAAUGGUUGGUACAAUGGGUAUCUACCCCGAAAGGGGAUGGAAAUCUCCUAAAGCCAAUCUUAGUUCGGAUUGAGGGCUGCAACUCGCCCUC